GUUUCACGUCUGUGUUCAUGUUUCUUGUUUUGUAUUAUGUUCCUUUUAUUUCAUUGAAACACUCCCUGAACUUGCCUCCUGACUCUCAGCGUACAUCAUUACAAUUCCAACGAACUACCUUUAGGGACUGACGGAGAAGGAUGUACAGGUUUUUGAUCAGUCAAGGUGAGACUGAACAUGGACAAGUCUCAGGAGAAAUGGAAGGAGAGCUACCGGAGAAGAAUCAAGAAGGGGACCAAGUGCUACGACAUCCAGGCAAAUUACUUGGUUAUUACUUGGUUUAGAAGAAGGACGAAAGGAAGGCUUACCUCGUGGAAGCCAACAAUAUUAUGCAGUUGGAUGGUCGACCACUGGAAGCACUGCCGCCCUACACUUCAGUGAAGUCCCAUAGACAAAGUAUAUUAAACUUUGGUUGACAUUUAUAGGAGCUAGGGGUUCUGCCCAACACCCAAAUGUGGAUCCACCUGAUAUCCUCCAUUACCAACUACCCUCCAACUUUUCAUUACAUCAUCUACAGCGAUGUUGUCAUUAUCUGCUAACAAAGUUAUUGCUCUAUCAUACUGGGCACAUAAUAGGUGAGAUACACCGAUGAACUAAAAACACUAAGAACAAAGAGAUCAGUAGUGCCUGGACUUGGCUGUCUCCCUCUUCAAGCCCCCCUUCUGAGACUGGCUACCUGUUGAGAACACAGACAGAACCUCCCACCCACACAGCAACCACGUUCUCUAUAUUCCACACACCAGAAUUCAGUAUUUUAGUCUGUGGUUGCCAUAUGAGUGCACAAAAUAAUCUGUGAAAAUAAAUU